UACGUAGGGUGCAAGCGUUAAUCGGAAUUACUGGGCGUAAAGCGUGCGCAGGCGGUUAUGUAAGACAGUUGUGAAAUCCCCGGGCUUAACCUGGGAACUGCAUUUGUGACUGGCAAGCUAGAGUAUGGCAGAGGGGGGUAGAAUUCCACGUGUAGCAGUGAAAUGCGUAGAGAUGUGGAGGAAUACCGAUGGCGAAGGGCAGCCCCCUGGGCCAAUACUGACGCUCAUGCACGAA
rnacentral:rRNA from 1 species